rnacentral:rRNA from 1 species
UCGAACGCUUCCUUCCUCCCGAGUGCUUGCACUCAAUUGGAAAGAGGAGUGGCGGACGGGUGGGUAACACGUGGGUAACCUACCCAUCAGAGGGGGAUAACACUUGGAAACAGGUGCUAAUACCGCAUAACAGUUUAUGCCGCAUGGCAUAAGAGUAAAAGGCGCUUUCGGGUGUCGCUGAUGGAUGGACCCGCGGUGCAUUAGCCAGUUGGUGAGGUAACGGCUCACCAAGGCCACGAUGCAUAGCCGACCUGAGAGGGUGAUCGGCCACACUGGGACUGAGACACGGCCCAGACUCCUACGGGAGGCAGCAGUAGGGAAUCUUCGGCAAUGGACGAAAGUCUGACCGAGCAACGCCGCGUGAGUGAAGAAGGUUUUCGGAUCGUAAAACUCUGUUGUUAGAGAAGAACAAGGACGUUAGUAACUGAACGUCCCCUGACGGUAUCUAACCAGAAAGUCACGGCUAACUACGUGCCAGCAGCCGCGGUAAUACGUAGGUGGCAAGCGUUGUCCGGAUUUAUUGGGCGUAAAGCGAGCGCAGGCGGUUUCUUAAGUCUGAUGUGAAAGCCCCCGGCUCAACCGGGGAGGGUCAUUGGAAACUGGGAGACUUGAGUGCAGAAGAGGAGAGUGGAAUUCCAUGUGUAGCGGUGAAAUGCGUAGAUAUAUGGAGGAACACCAGUGGCGAAGGCG